GAUGAACGCUGGCGGCGUGCCUAAUACAUGCGAGUCGAGCGAACGGACGAGAAGCUUGCUUCUCUGAUGUUAGCGGCGGACGGGUGAGUAUCACGUGGAUAACCUACCUAUAAGACUGGGAUAACUUCGGAAAACCGGAGCUAAUACCGGAUAAUAUUUUGAACCGCAUGGUUCAAAAGUGAAAGACGGUCUUGCUGUCACUUAUAGAUGGAUCCGCGCUGCAUUAGCUAGUUGGUAAGGUAACGGCUUACCAAGGCAACGAUGCAUAGCCGACCUGAGAGGGUGAUCGGCCACACUGGAACUGAGACACGGUCCAGACUCCUACGGGAGGCAGCAGUAGGGAAUCUUCCGCAAUGGGCGAAAGCCUGACGGAGCAACGCCGCGUGAGUGAUGAAGGUCUUCGGAUCGUAAAACUCUGUUAUUAGGGAAGAACAUAUGUGUAAGUAACUGUGCACAUCUUGACGGUACCUAAUCAGAAAGCCACGGCUAACUACGUG
rnacentral:rRNA from 1 species